rnacentral:rRNA from 1 species
UGGGGAGGUAAAUUUCUCCUAAGGCUAAAUAUCGGCGAGAGACCGAUAGCGAACAAGUACCGUGAGGGAAAGAUGAAAAGAACUUUGAAAAGAGAGUAAAAUAGUACGUGAAAUUGUUGAAAGGGAAACGAUUGAAGUCAGUCGUACCGACGAGAAAUCAGCUCUUCGAGUGCGAACUUGUGGGCGUGUGAGAGUCUUUAACCGGGCCUCGCUGUUUGCAAUUUUGUGCUUUUUGGGUGUACUCUUUCGUAUGGUAGGCCAACGUCUAGUUUGAUUACCGUAAAAUGAUCGGAGGAAUG